rnacentral:tRNA from 1 species
GGGCGCGUAGGCUAGUUUGGACAGACUGCCGGGCUUCGGACCCGGCGACAGGGGUUCGAAUCCCCUCGCGCCCG